rnacentral:lncRNA from 1 species
GUGUCAGUCAAGGAGAGCUCAUUAAUAUAAGCUCCCCGACACACAGCCUGUUCAUUCAGGCUUCCUGAUUGUUAGAGAUGAGAGAAAAGCCAGAACCCUGGUUGCCUCUGCCAGGAGGCUGACACUUUGUCUAGGACGCAGACCUCCAUCCUUCUUCUUCACAAAAAAGAAACUCGAGGAGGCGGGUGAAGUGGAGGACCGAAUGAUAAAAUUCCCAGCUGCGCCUGAAUUUCUCAGGUGUAUCUAGAACAUAGGGACACAAUCUUGGAGAAACAAAGGAGCCACACAAACGCUUCACACCGCAUGGCCGGUGCCACUCUAACCUGGUGGUCCCAGCGCGCAUGACCCACGUGGAGUUCCAGGUCUCCGGUAGCCUCUGGAACUGCCGGUCUGCGGCCAACAAGGCAGAGUUCAUCUCAGCCUAUGCUACCCUCCAGUCCCUCGACUUCUUGGCGCUGACGGAAACAUGGAUUACCACAGAAAACACUACUACUCCUACUGCUCUCUCCUCGUCUGACCACGUGUUCUCGCAUACCCCGAGAGCAUCUGGUCAGCGGGGUGGUGGCACUGGAAUCCUCAUCUCUCCCAAGUGGACAUUCUCUCUUUCUCUCCUGACCCAUCUGUCUAUCUCCUCCUUUGAAUUCCAUGAUGUCACAGUCACUAGCACAUUCAAGCUUAACCUGUUAGGGCUAGGGGGCAGUAUUGACACGGCUGGAUAAAAAACAUACCCGAUUUAAUCUGGUUACCACUCCUACCCAGUAACUAGAAUAUGCAUAUACCUAUUACAUAUGGAUAGAAAACACCC